rnacentral:rRNA from 1 species
AUGAACGCUGGCGGCGUGCCUCAUCCAUGCCCGUCGAGCGAACGGACGAGAAGCUUGCUUUUCUGAUGUUAGCGGCGGACGGGUGAGUAACACGUGGAUAACCUACCUAUAAGACUGGGAUAACUUCGGGAAACCGGAGCUAAUACCGGAUAAUAUUUUGAACCGCAUGGUUCAAAAGUGAAAGACGGUCUUGCUGUCACUUAUAGAUGGAUCCGCGCUGCAUUAGCUAGUUGGUAAGGUAACGGCUUACCAAGGCAACGAUGCAUAGCCGACCUGAGAGGGUGAUCGGCCACACUGGAACUGAGACACGGUCCAGACUCCUACGGGAGGCAGCAGUAGGGAAUCUUCCGCAAUGGGCGAAAGCCUGACGGAGCAACGCCGCGUGAGUGAUGAAGGUCUUCGGAUCGUAAAACUCUGUUAUUAGGGAAGAACAUAUGUGUAAGUAACUGUGCACAUCUUGACGGUACCUAAUCAGAAAGCCACGGCUAACUACGUG